GAAAGCAGUGUCAAAGGCAUGGUUAAGAUGUUGAGAUAUUGAAGAAAUUGCCCUCUGUGAAGCUCAAUGUUAGUUCAUCUGCCCCAUUUUUGGUGGGUAGGUUUAUCAAAUGGUUAGUUGUGGUGCGAUCAAGCUGGAUUGGAUCACUAAUACAGUCAAGCUGACGUUGAUCAAAAGAUAUUGAUUCUAGAGUUGGAAGAAAGUUCAAGGGAUAUGUCUAGAUGCCCAACAACGGAGACGGGCUGACAAGACGAUCCGUCACUAUCUUCCCAAUGACUUCAUGAAGUUUGAUGUGCACAAUGCAAAUCAUCUAAUGGCAAUGAUCACCCUCCGACUCAAACCUCAGGAGAAAAGGUGUUGCAAGUUUUGAAUGAGUUUUGAAGAUUGAAUCUGAAACUAGACUGUCCUAGCAGUUGCUGUUGGUGCAACCGCGUCUAUAACCACCAUCCACUCCUAUAAAGGAACCUCGAUGGAAGGAAGCCGCUUUGGUGAUGUCUUCCUUGCAAUGGAAGCCUGCUUCUGCAUGUAUGGUGAGGGUGGGUGUCAUGGUCCUUUGAAGAAAGUUCCACACGAUAGUGUUGCUCCUGUGCGCUUCCUUCACUUCUGCAAAAAUUAUCUGAUUAAAUGACUUCCAUUUCUACUAGAUCCUUUCCAACUUUAUUAUUGUUUCUUAAUAUAUUCAAAGCUCCUUUUUGCUACUACUCGAUGGACUGCUUGUGAUGCCUAUAGCAUUCAGUUCCGUUGGCUGCUUUUUAAAAAUGGUUAAACCACUUUUAAUGCAAUCAAAUGGAUGCUUUGACCAAAGGUGUCUGACUCGAAUUUAUCCUACAAGCACCGAGGAAGCAACCAAGUCUGUUGACUUUUCCUUACGAAAG